UAGGGAAUUUUCGUCAAUGGGGGGAACCCUGAACGAGCAAUGCCGCGUGUGUGAAGAAGGUCUUCGGAUCGUAAAGCACUGUUGUAAGUGAAGAAUGCCACAUAGAGGAAAUGCUAUGUGGGUGACGGUAGCUUACCAGAAAGCCACGGCUAACUACGUGCCAGCAGCCGCGGUAAUACGUAGGUGGCAAGCGUUAUCCGGAAUCAUUGGGCGUAAAGGGUGCGUAGGUGGCACGAUAAGUCUGAAGUAAAAGGCAACAGCUCAACUGUUGUAUGCUUUGGAAACUGUCGAGCUAGAGUGCAGAAGAGGGCGAUGGAAUUCCAUGUGUAGCGGUAAAAUGCGUAGAUAUAUGGAGGAACACCAGUGGCGAAGGCGGUCGCCUGGUCUGUAACCGACACUGAUGCACGAAAGCGUGGGGAGCAAAUAGGAUUAGAUACC
rnacentral:rRNA from 1 species